rnacentral:tmRNA from 1 species
GGGGGUGCCUGCUUUGACAGAGAAGAGAGGGAUAGCGUGCAAGCCGAGCUGCCCGGGAAAAGCUCGUUAAAAUCUUCCCGGGGCAACAAAAAUGCCAACGUUUUUGAGCCCCAACGGGCUUACGCCUUCGCGUAAUUUCGAAGGCCAUCUGUCUCUUGAUUCUCGGUAAAGAGAACGGGUGUCACUCAUCGAGAUAGUCGUGUUGCUUUGCGGAUUCCAAAGCAACCGCCGAAACCUUCAACGAAUCCUCUGAAGAAGGGUUUUGCCCAAUACACACCUUCUUUACAGCAACCAAUUGGGAUACGCUUGAAGACCGCUGUUCCAAACUUUUCUGGACGGGAGCUCAUCCUCCCCACCUCCACAA